rnacentral:rRNA from 1 species
AUUGAACGCUGGCGGCAUGGCUAAAACAUGCAAGUCGAACGUGUGUAGCAAUACACAAGUGGCGAAAGGGUUAGUAAUGCGAUCGAAUGUACCCUGAGGUGGGGAUAGCUACGGGAAACUGUAGGUAAUACCCCAUGAUCUCUCCGGAGCAAAGGUUUACCGCCUUGGGAGUAGCGAUCGUCCUAUCAGGUAGUUGGCGGGGUAACGGCCACCAAGCCGAAGACGGGUAGCGGGUGUGAGAGCACGGCCCGCAACAUCGGAACUGAGACACUGUCCGGACUUCUACGGAAGGCUGCAGUAACGAAUCUUCCGCAAUGGGCGAAAGCCUGACGGAGCAAUGCCGCGUGUGGGAUGAAGCGUCUCUGACGUGUAAACCACUGUCAGGGGUUAGAAACAAUGAUUGACCCCAGAGGAAGUGGCGACUAACUCUGUGCCAGCAGCCGCAU